GACGAUGUAGUUUAAAUAAAGAACAGUUUCUCUGCAAGAAAGUGGUGGGGGGUAGUCUCCUCAUUGUUG
rnacentral:tRNA from 1 species